rnacentral:rRNA from 1 species
AUGUACAUUCUUACAACACAACUUUAAUGCACUAGAUCCCAUUAGAACUCUAUAGUUAAGCUUGCUCGGGCUAGAGUAGUACUGGGAUGGGUGAACGCAUGUGAAUUCCUAGUGUUUUACAUG